GGUCAUGAGUGUCAGCGCGAAGCCCCGGCUUGCUGACCGGCAACCCUCCAACCGCGGUGGGGUGCCCCGGGUGAUGACCCGGCCGGCGGGCGAAGGCACCCGACGGCAAGCGCGGGCC
rnacentral:ncRNA from 1 species